UACGAAGGGGGCUAGCGUUGCUCGGAAUGACUGGGCGUAAAGGGCGCGUAGGCGGCGAUCAAGGUCAGAUGUGAAAUUCCUGGGCUCAACCUGGGGGCUGCGUUUGAUACGUGCAGACUUGAGUUCGGAAGAGGGUCGUGGAAUUCCCAGUGUAGAGGUGAAAUUCGUAGAUAUUGGGAAGAACACCGGUGGCGAAGGCGGCGACCUGGUCCGAUACUGACGCUGAGGCGCGAAAGCGUGGGGAGCAAACAGG
rnacentral:rRNA from 1 species